GACGAACGCUGGCGGCGUGCUUAACACAUGCAAGUCGAGCGGAAAGGCCCUUCGGGGUACUCGAGCGGCGAACGGGUGAGUAACACGUAAGUAACCUGCCCUAGGCUUUGGGAUAACCCCGGGAAACCGGGGCUAAUACCGGAUAUGACCUGGUGCCGCAUGGUGUUGGGUGGAAAGUUUUUUCGGCCUGGGAUGGGCUCGCGGCCUAUCAGCUUGUUGGUGGGGUGAUGGCCUACCAAGGCGAUGACGGGUAGCCGGCCUGAGAGGGCGACCGGCCACACUGGGACUGAGACACGGCCCAGACUCCUACGGGAGGCAGCAGUGGGGAAUAUUGCACAAUGGGCGGAAGCCUGAUGCAGCGACGCCGUGUGAGGGAUGAAGGCCUUCGGGUUGUAAACCUCUUUCAGCAGGGACGAAGCGUGAGUGACGGUACCUGCAGAAGAAGCGCCGGCCAACUACGUG
rnacentral:rRNA from 1 species